rnacentral:ncRNA from 2 species
CCAAUAGCGUAUAUUAAAGUUGUUGCAGUUAAAAAGCUCGUAGUUGAACUUCGGGGUUCACCCAUUGGUCAGGCUUAAUUGUCUGUACUGGUGAGAUGAGUCUCUACCUUCUGAGGAACUUUCAUGCCAUUUAUUUGGUGUGAUUGGAAAUCAGGACUGUUACUUUGAAAAAAUUAGAGUGUUUAAAGCAGGCUAACGUCUGAAUACAUUAGCAUGGAAUAAUGAAAUAGGACGGAUUGAUUCUAUUUCGUUGGUUUCUAGGGUCACCGUAAUGAUUAAUAGGGAUAGUUGGGGGCAUUAGUAUUCAAUUGUCAGAGGUGAAAUUCUUGGAUUUAUUGAAGACUAACUACUGCGAAAGCAUUUGCCAAGGAUGUUUUCAUUAAUCAAGAACGAAAGUUAGGGGAUCGAAGACGAUCAGAUACCGUCGUAGUCUUAACCAUAAACUAUGCCGACUAGGGAUCGGACGCAGUUAAUUUUAUAAUGACGUGUUCGGCACCUUACG